ACCGUUAAAAAUACAACAAAAUUAAAGCAUAUAUAGAAGAAGUUAAAUCAAUGAUAACAAGUCAAAAUAUAAAAAAACUAGCGGAAGAAAAUAUUGAUCACUGUAAAACAAAGAAAACAAUACAAAAGCAAGUGAUAGAUUUGCAAAGCUAUGCUAAAGAAUUAAGUAAUAUAUUGUGUGAAAAAGUAAACAAUGAUUUUCUGUAAACUUAAUUCUUAAAUUUCAAAAAAAAUAUCACUUAUCUACAGUCUGCUACCACUAGUUCGUGGUAAUGACAAGCUAUUAAGACUUAUUAUCCCUGAGCUUGAGUUGACCUUUUUAAAAGUACAAUGAAAAAACUAUGAGUAAUUUUGUGUAAUUGCUAUAAGACGUAUGAAAAUGACUGCAUAAAGAUAUACUGGAAAUCAAUUAGAUAAAACAUAUUAUAAUUUACCAAAAAAAAAAAUGCCAUGGAUCACAUAGAUCAAAGACUUGAUAAGUACCAUUUACUUAAAUUUGUUUUAUUAACUAUUUGUAUUUAUUUUUUACUUUAAUUUAAAAUGAACAUUAUUUUGUCUAAGUUUAUAAUUUAUAAAUAUAUAAUAAAAAAUGAUCACAUGUGGCUAAUUAACUAAAUAAAAUUAAA